rnacentral:rRNA from 1 species
AACGUAGGGGGCGAGCGUUAUCCGGAUUUACUGGGCGUAAAGCGCAUGUAGGCGGUUUGAAAAGUCAGCCGUGAAAGCUCCCGGCUUAACUGGGAGAGGUCGGUUGAAACUAUCGGACUGGAGGGUGGAAGAGGAGAGUGGAAUUCCCGGUGUAGUGGUGGAAUGCGUAGAGAUCGGGAGGAACACCAGUGGCGAAAGCGGCUCUCUGGACCACUUCUGACGCUGAGAUGCGAAAGCGUGGGGAGCAAACGGG